rnacentral:rRNA from 1 species
CACCAGUGGCGAAGGCGNCCUUCUGGACGAAAACUGACGCUGAGGCGCGAAAGCCAGGGGAGCGAACGGGAUUAGAUACCCUGGUAGUCCUGGCCGUAAACGAUGGGUACUAGGUGUAGGAGGUAUCGACCCCUUCUGUGCCGGAGUUAACGCAAUAAGUACCCCGCCUGGGGAGUACGACCGCAAGGUUGAAACUCAAAGGAAUUGACGGGGGCCCGCACAAGCGGUGGAGUAUGUGGUUUAAUUCGACGCAACGCGAAGAACCUUACCAGGUCUUGACAUUGAUGGACAGAACCAGAGAUGGUUCCUCUUCUUCGGAAGCCAGAAAACAGGUGGUGCACGGUUGUCGUCAGCUCGUGUCGUGAGAUGUUGGGUUAAGUCCCGCAACGAGCGCAACCCCUAUCUUAUGUUGCCAGCACUUUGGGUGGGGACUCAUGAGAGACUGCCGCAGACAAUGCGGAGGAAGGCGGGGAUGACGUCAAAUCAUCAUGCCCCUUAUGACCUGGGCUACACACGUACUACAAUGGGAGUUAAUAGACGGAAGCGAGAUCGCGAGAUGGAGCAAACCCGAGAAACACUCUCUCAGUUCGGAUCGUAGGCUGCAACUCGCCUACGUGAAGUCGGAAUCGCUAGUAAUCGCAGGUCAGCAUACUGCGGUGAAUACGUUCCCGGGCCUUGUACACACCGCCCGUCACACCACGAAAGUCGGAAGUGCCCAAAGCCGG